UUAAGCGACUAAGCGUACACGGUGGAUGCCCUGGCAGUCAGAGGCGAUGAAGGACGUGCUAAUCUGCGAUAAGCGUCGGUGAGGUGAUAUGAACCGUUAUAACCGGCGAUUUCCGAAUGGGGAAACCCAGUGUGUUUCGACACACUAUCAUUAACUGAAUCCAUAGGUUAAUGAGGCGAACCGGGGGAACUGAAACAUCUAAGUACCCCGAGGAAAAGAAAUCAACCGAGAUUCCCCCAGUAGCGGCGAGCGAACGGGGAGCAGCCCAGAGCCUGAAUCAGUGUGUGUGUUAGUGGAAGCGUCUGGAAAGGCGUGCGAUACAGGGUGACAGCCCCGUACACAAAAAUGCACAUACUGUGAGCUCGAUGAGUAGGGCGGGACACGUGGUAUCCUGUCUGAAUAUGGGGGGACCAUCCUCCAAGGCUAAAUACUCCUGACUGACCGAUAGUGAACCAGUACCGUGAGGGAAAGGCGAAAAGAACCCCGGCGAGGGGAGUGAAAAAGAACCUGAAACCGUGUACGUACAAGCAGUGGGAGCCUCUUAAUGGGGUGACUGCGUACCUUUUGUAUAAUGGGUCAGCGACUUAUAUUCUGUAGCAAGGUUAACCGAAUAGGGGAGCCGAAGGGAAACCGAGUCUUAACUGGGCGUUAAGUUGCAGGGUAUAGACCCGAAACCCGGUGAUCUAGCCAUGGGCAGGUUGAAGGUUGGGUAACACUAACUGGAGGACCGAACCGACUAAUGUUGAAAAAUUAGCGGAUGACUUGUGGCUGGGGGUGAAAGGCCAAUCAAACCGGGAGAUAGCUGGUUCUCCCCGAAAGCUAUUUAGGUAGCGCCUCGUGAAUUCAUCUCCGGGGGUAGAGCACUGUUUCGGCAAGGGGGUCAUCCCGACUUACCAACCCGAUGCAAACUGCGAAUACCGGAGAAUGUUAUCACGGGAGACACACGGCGGGUGCUAACGUCCGUCGUGAAGAGGGAAACAACCCAGACCGCCAGCUAAGGUCCCAAAGUCAUGGUUAAGUGGGAAACGAUGUGGGAAGGCCCAGACAGCCAGGAUGUUGGCUUAGAAGCAGCCAUCAUUUAAAGAAAGCGUAAUAGCUCACUGGUCGAGUCGGCCUGCGCGGAAGAUGUAACGGGGCUAAACCAUGCACCGAAGCUGCGGCAGCGACACUAUGUGUUGUUGGGUAGGGGAGCGUUCUGUAAGCCUGCGAAGGUGUACUGUGAGGUAUGCUGGAGGUAUCAGAAGUGCGAAUGCUGACAUAAGUAACGAUAAAGCGGGUGAAAAGCCCGCUCGCCGGAAGACCAAGGGUUCCUGUCCAACGUUAAUCGGGGCAGGGUGAGUCGACCCCUAAGGCGAGGCCGAAAGGCGUAGUCGAUGGGAAACAGGUUAAUAUUCCUGUACUUGGUGUUACUGCGAAGGGGGGACGGAGAAGGCUAUGUUGGCCGGGCGACGGUUGUCCCGGUUUAAGCGUGUAGGCUGAUUUUCCAGGCAAAUCCGGAAAAUCAAGGCUGAGGCGUGAUGACGAGGCACUACGGUGCUGAAGCAACAAAUGCCCUGCUUCCAGGAAAAGCCUCUAAGCAUCAGGUAACAUCAAAUCGUACCCCAAACCGACACAGGUGGUCAGGUAGAGAAUACCAAGGCGCUUGAGAGAACUCGGGUGAAGGAACUAGGCAAAAUGGUGCCGUAACUUCGGGAGAAGGCACGCUGAUAUGUAGGUGAAGUCCCUCGCGGAUGGAGCUGAAAUCAGUCGAAGAUACCAGCUGGCUGCAACUGUUUAUUAAAAACACAGCACUGUGCAAACACGAAAGUGGACGUAUACGGUGUGACGCCUGCCCGGUGCCGGAAGGUUAAUUGAUGGGGUUAGCGGUAACGCGAAGCUCUUGAUCGAAGCCCCGGUAAACGGCGGCCGUAACUAUAACGGUCCUAAGGUAGCGAAAUUCCUUGUCGGGUAAGUUCCGACCUGCACGAAUGGCGUAAUGAUGGCCAGGCUGUCUCCACCCGAGACUCAGUGAAAUUGAACUCGCUGUGAAGAUGCAGUGUACCCGCGGCAAGACGGAAAGACCCCGUGAACCUUUACUAUAGCUUGACACUGAACAUUGAGCCUUGAUGUGUAGGAUAGGUGGGAGGCUUUGAAGUGUGGACGCCAGUCUGCAUGGAGCCGGCCUUGAAAUACCACCCUUUAAUGUUUGAUGUUCUAACGUUGGCCCCUGAUCGGGGUUGCGGACAGUGUCUGGUGGGUAGUUUGACUGGGGCGGUCUCCUCCUAAAGAGUAACGGAGGAGCACGAAGGUUGGCUAAUCCUGGUCGGACAUCAGGAGGUUAGUGCAAUGGCAUAAGCCAGCUUGACUGCGAGCGUGACGGCGCGAGCAGGUGCGAAAGCAGGUCAUAGUGAUCCGGUGGUUCUGAAUGGAAGGGCCAUCGCUCAACGGAUAAAAGGUACUCCGGGGAUAACAGGCUGAUACCGCCCAAGAGUUCAUAUCGACGGCGGUGUUUGGCACCUCGAUGUCGGCUCAUCACAUCCUGGGGCUGAAGUAGGUCCCAAGGGUAUGGCUGUUCGCCAUUUAAAGUGGUACGCGAGCUGGGUUUAGAACGUCGUGAGACAGUUCGGUCCCUAUCUGCCGUGGGCGCUGGAGAACUGAGGGGGGCUGCUCCUAGUACGAGAGGACCGGAGUGGACGCAUCACUGGUGUUCGGGUUGUCAUGCCAAUGGCACUGCCCGGUAGCUAAAUGCGGAAGAGAUAAGUGCUGAAAGCAUCUAAGCACGAAACUUGCCCCGAGAUGAGUUCUCCCUGACUCUUUAAGGGUCCUGAAGGAACGUUGAAGACGACGACGUUGAUAGGCCGGGUGUGUAAGCGCAGCGAUGCGUUGAGCUAACCGGUACUAAUGAACCGUGAGGCUUAACCUU
rnacentral:rRNA from 1 species